rnacentral:rRNA from 1 species
CGCGGCCUAUCAGCUUGUUGGUGGGGUAAAAGCCUACCAAGACGAGGAUCGGUAGCUGGUCUGAGAGGAUGAUCAGCCACAUUGGAACUGAGACACGGCCCAGGCUCCUACGGGAGGCAGCAGUGGGGAAUAUUGCACAAUGGGCGCAAGCCUGAUGCAGCGACGCCGCGUGAGGGAUGACGGCCUUCGGGUUGUAAACCUCUUUCACCAGGGACGAAGCGAAAGUGACGGUACCUGGAGAAGAAGCACCGGCCAACUACGUGCCAGCAGCCGCGGUAAUACGUAGGGUGCGAGCGUUGUCCGGAAUUACUGGGCGUAAAGAGCUCGUAGGCGGUUUGUCGCGUCGUUCGUGAAAACUUGGGGCUUAACUCCAAGCGUGCGGGCGAUACGGGCAGACUUGAGUAUUACAGGGGAGACUGGAAUUCCUGGUGUAGCGGUGAAAUGCGCAGAUAUCAGGAGGAACACCGGUGGCGAAGGCGGGUCUCUGGGUAGUAACUGACGCUGAGGAGCGAAAGCGUGGGUAGCGAACAGGAUUAGAUACCCUGGUAGUCCACGCCGUAAACGGUGGGUACUAGGUGUGGGUUCCUUUUCACGGGAUCCGUGCCGUAGCUAACGCAUUAAGUACCCCGCCUGGGGAGUACGG